rnacentral:rRNA from 1 species
GAUGAACGCUGGCGGCGUGCCUAAUACAUGCAAGUCGAGCGAACGGACGAGAAGCUUGCUUCUCUGAUGUUAGCGGCGGACGGGUGAGUAACACGUGGAUAACCUACCUAUAAGACUGGGAUAACUUCGGGAAACCGGAGCUAAUACCGGAUAAUAUUUUGAACCGCAUGGUUCAAAAGUGAAAGACGGUCUUGCUGUCACUUAUAGAUGGAUCCGCGCUGCAUUAGCUAGUUGGUAAGGUAACGGCUUACCAAGGCAACGAUGCAUAGCCGACCUGAGAGGGUGAUCGGCCACACUGGAACUGAGACACGGUCCAGACUCCUACGGGAGGCAGCAGUAGGGAAUCUUCCGCAAUGGGCGAAAGCCUGACGGAGCAACGCCGCGUGAGUGAUGAAGGUCUUCGGAUCGUAAAACUCUGUUAUUAGGGAAGAACAUAUGUGUAGGUAACUGUGCACAUCUUGACGGUACCUAAUCAGAAAGCCACGGCUAACUACGUGCCAGCAGCCGCGGUAAUACGUAGGUGGCAAGCGUUAUCCGGAAUUAUUGGGCGUAAAGCGCGCGUAGGCGGUUUUUUAGUCUGAUGUGAAAGCCCACGGCUCAACCGUGGAGGGUCAUUGGAAACUGGAAAACUUGAGUGCAGAAGAGGAAAGUGGAAUUCCAUGUGUAGCGGUGAAAUGCGCAGAGAUAUGGAGGAACACCAGUGGCGAAGGCGACUUUCUGGUCUGUAACUGACGCUGAUGUGCGAAAGCGUGGGGAUCAAACAGGAUUAGAUACCCUGGUAGUCCACGCCGUAAACGAUGAGUGCUAAGUGUUAGGGGGUUUCCGCCCCUUAGUGCUGCAGCUAACGCAUUAAGCACUCCGCCUGGGGAGUACGACCGCAAGGUUGAAACUCAAAGGAAUUGACGGGGACCCGCACAAGCGGUGGAGCAUGUGGUUUAAUUCGAAGCAACGCGAAGAACCUUACCAAAUCUUGACAUCCUUUGACAACUCUAGAGAUAGAGCCUUCCCCUUCGGGGGACAAAGUGACAGGUGGUGCAUGGUUGUCGUCAGCUCGUGUCGUGAGAUGUUGGGUUAAGUCCCGCAACGAGCGCAACCCUUAAGCUUAGUUGCCAUCAUUAAGUUGGGCACUCUAAGUUGACUGCCGGUGACAAACCGGAGGAAGGUGGGGAUGACGUCAAAUCAUCAUGCCCCUUAUGAUUUGGGCUACACACGUGCUACAAUGGACAAUACAAAGGGCAGCGAAACCGCGAGGUCAAGCAAAUCCCAUAAAGUUGUUCUCAGUUCGGAUUGUAGUCUGCAACUCGACUACAUGAAGCUGGAAUCGCUAGUAAUCGUAGAUCAGCAUGCUACGGUGAAUACGUUCCCGGGUCU